UCCGAUUGAUCCCGUCGGACCCCACUGCUAUCGAGAUGGGACUAAAGUAUGCUAGUCGAACGACCAGAACUAUGUCUGGGAGUGGCACACUGCUCAGUAACACGUAGCUAACCUACCCUUAGGACGUGGAUACCCCCGAGAAAUUGGGGUUAAUCCGCGAUAGAUGUAAUGUCCUGGAAUGGUAUUACGUCUAAAGGUAUUUCAUACAUGUUUGAAAUAUGCCUAAGGAUGGGGCUGCGGCCGAUCAGGCUGUUGGUGAGGUAAUGGCUCACCAAACCUUUGACCGGUACGGGCCAUGAGAGUGGUAGCCCGGAGAUGGACACUGAGACAAGGGUCCAGGCCCUAAGGGGCGCAGCAACCGCGAAACCUCCACAAUGCACUCACGUGCGAUGGGGCUAUCUCGAGUGCCACCUGAUGAAGGUGGCUUUUUCCUUGGUCUUCAAAGCCUUGGGAAUAAGAGGGGGGCAAGACUGGUGUCAGCCGCCGCGGUAACACCAGCCCCUCGAGUGGUGGGGAUGAUUAUUUGGCCUAAAGCGUCCGUAGCCGGCCGUAAAAGUCUUCCGUUAAAUCCAGCGCCUCAAGCGUUGGACCGCGGGAGAUACUACAUGGCUAGAGAGUGGGAGAGGUCAGCGGUAUUCUGGGGGUAGGGGCGAAAUCCUUUGAUCCCCGGAGGACCACCAGUGGCGAAGGCUGCUGACUAGAACACGUCUGACGGUCAGGGACGAAAGCUGGGGUAGCGAACCGGAUUAGAUACCCGGGUAGUCCCAGCCGUAAACGAUGCAUGCUAGGUGUUGGGUUGGCCACGAGCCACCCCAGUGCCGCAGGGAAGCCGUUAAGCAUGCCGCCUGGGAAGUACGAUCGCAAGAUUGAAACUUAAAGGAAUUGGCGGGGGAGCACCACCAGGCGUGAAGCCUGCGGUUUAAUUGGAGUCAACGCCGGGAACCUUACCGGGAGCGACAGCAGAGUGAAGGCCAGAUUGAAGAUCUUGCCAGACGAGCUGAGAGGAGGUGCAUGGCCGUCGCCAGUUCGUGCCGUGAGGUGUUCUCUUAAGUGAGAUAACGAACGAGACCCGUGCCACAUGUUGCCACCAGUAUCUAAAGGAUAGCUGAGCACUCUUGUGGGACCGCAGCCGAUAAGGCUGAGGAAGGUACGGGCAACGGCAGGUCAGUAUGCCCCGAAUCUCCCGGGCCACACGCGGGCUGCAAUGGUAUAGACAGAGGGCUGCCACCCCGAGAGGGGGAGCCAAUCCCUAAACUGUACCUCAGUUGGGAUCGAGGGUUGCAACCCACCCUCGUGAACAUGGAAUGCCUAGUAACCGCCAGUCAUCAUCUGGCGGUGAAUACGUCCCAGCUCCUUGCACACACUGCCCGUCGAACCACCCGAAUGAGGUUUGGGUGAGGAAUGGUCGAAUGUUGGCCGUUUCGAACCUGGGCCUCGUAAGGAGGGUUAAGUCGUAACAAGGUG
rnacentral:rRNA from 1 species